ACCCAAUAGAUACCCGGGUAGUCCACGCCCUAAACGAUGAUAACUGGCUUUGCGGAGUAUCGACCCUCUGCGAGGCGAAAGCUAAACGCGUUAAGUUAUCCGCCUGGGUAGUACGAUCGCAAGAUUAAAACUCAAAGGAAUAGACGGGGACUUGCACAAGCGGUGGAUCAUGCGGCUCAAUUCGAUGACAAACGAAGAACCUCACCAGGGUUUGAAACCCAGACGAAAUCUCUAGGAAACUAGAGACCUCGCAAGACGGCUGGGCAGGUGAUGCAUGGUCGUCGUCAGUUCGUGGCUUGAGUUGUUCCCUUCAGUGGGGUAACGAACGCAACCCCGUUGCCUGUUUUAUAUGUCAGGCGAGACUGCUCCCUCACGGGAGAGGAAGGUGGGGAUGACGCCAGAUCAGCAUGUCCCUCUGAUAUCCUGGGCUGCACGCAUGAUACAAUGCACGCGACAACGAGACGCAAUACCGUAAGGUGGAGCAAAUCUUUAAACGCGUG
rnacentral:rRNA from 1 species